rnacentral:rRNA from 1 species
GGGAAUCUGCCCCUUGGUUCGGAAUAACCGUUGGAAACGACGGCUAAUACCGGAUGACGACGUAAGUCCAAAGAUUUAUCGCCGAGGGAUGAGCCCGCGUAGGAUUAGCUAGUUGGUGUGGUAAAGGCGCACCAAGGCGACGAUCCUUAGCUGGUCUGAGAGGAUGAUCAGCCACACUGGGACUGAGACACGGCCCAGACUCCUACGGGAGGCAGCAGUGGGGAAUAUUGGACAAUGGGGGAAACCCUGAUCCAGCAAUGCCGCGUGAGUGAUGAAGGCCUUAGGGUUGUAAAGCUCUUUUACCCGGGAUGAUAAUGACAGUACCGGGAGAAUAAGCUCCGGCUAACUCCGUGCCAGCAGCCGCGGUAAUACGGAGGGAGCUAGCGUUGUUCGGAAUUACUGGGCGUAAAGCGCACGUAGGCGGCUUUGUAAGUUAGAGGUGAAAGCCUGGAGCUCAACUCCAGAAUUGCCUUUAAGACUGCAUCGCUUGAAUCCAGGAGAGGUGAGUGGAAUUCCGAGU